rnacentral:rRNA from 1 species
GAUCAUGGCUCAGGAUGAACGCUAGCGACAGGCUUAACACAUGCAAGUCGAGGGGCAGCGGGGUGUAGCAAUACACCGCCGGCGACCGGCGCACGGGUGAGUAACGCGUAUCCAACCUGCCCAUCACUUGGGAAUAACCUUGCGAAAGUAAGACUAAUGCCCAAUGAUAUCCCACGAAGGCAUCCGAAUGGGAUUAAAGAUUUAUCGGUGAUGGAUGGGGAUGCGUCUGAUUAG